UUGCACCAGCCCAUUUCAAACACUGAGCCAGCCCACCAUUUUUCUUUUCUUCGUUACAACAACCAGCAAUUCAACAACAAACGACAUCAUCAACUAAACCCUAGGCUCCUCCCUUUUGUUUACCUUUUUACCCUCGCGAUCAGCCAUUUUUGGCUAGAAUGUUCAUCAUCUUCUCUUGCUCAAGCAACACUUGUGUGUUCUUGGCAAAAUCGCGCCGAAACAUAGCAGAGCAUGAACACACAUUAACGAUCGAGAGGGAUAAAGGCGAGAGGAGGAUUUCUUGGGGAAAAACUUGAGGGUUUUGGAGGUGUGCACUUCUAACCCUACGUAACCAAGAAAUUUUCAGAACACCCUCAAAAUCCAUCAAAAUGGUUUGAAUUCCAAUAGCGCAUUGAAAUCGCGGUGGAAGUUGUUCCGACGAAGUUUUGAAGUCCUGGUAUCUCUGCCCAUAAGAAGGUAAAAUCCCCUCACUCCAUUGCUCUUAAUAUAAUUCUGAAUCAUCGGGUUUAGUUAGGUUGUCAUGUGACGCUUUAAAUCAUCUUAAAUGUUGGUCUUGGUUGUUCAUGACUGUGAAUCAUUUUCUUGGAUUCUUAUUUAUCAUCUGUUUUUUUAGAGAAUUAUUGGUUACGGCUAAAUUAAAAAUAAUCCAAUUAACGAGCGUGUACACUUAUGUCUCCGGUAUUCCUUACUCAAUGUUUGAUCAAAGUAUUUUGCUUCUCUUAUUUUUUUUUUUGUACCCCGUCUUUUAUGGUUUAAAGUUGCUUAUAAAAAUCUUUUCCUGUGAUUUUCAGUACGUAUGAGGUUAAAAAAGAAUUGGUCUUGGAUUCAAAAUAGAGAAAAUCCCUGAAAAAAUGUUUUAGUUUUGCUUGUUAUAUGCAAUAAUAUGCUUCCGUGUGCCUCGUUUCACUUGGUGAUUCAAAACAUACAAGUUAUCGAUAUUAAGUACCAUGGUCUAUUAAGCAUUUUCCAUCAGGUAUUGGUAGAAGUAAAUGAUCAUGUUGUUUCGCACAGUUAUUUCAGAAUCUUAAUGGUGGUCAUUUUUCUCGUAUGAUUAGCUAGUCGUUUCAGUCGAUAUUUCUAAUUAUAAAAGAACAUACAGUAGGUUUUAGUCUUGUAUUCGGUAAAUAUGCAUAGGAAUGUAAAAUUUAAUUACUAGUCUUCACUAUUGUAUGUCAUCUUCAAUGGUUUUAAAUUUAUCACUAGAAGUAAGAUAUGACGGUUUGAAAUUCCACACCUAAUUGCAUUCAAGUUCGUUAGUUUCCACUGGUUAGCUAAAAUAAAAUUGGUUAGCAUGAGUUAGCUGCUAAAGCUCCAUGUCAAGGUUUCAAUUUGAGUGCUUUGUUUACUAUAGAAGCACAUAUUUUUCUGGAAAGUCACUGCCUUUUCCUUGGUUUAAAUCUUCAAAUAUCCUGAUCUUAUUUGUUUACAUUGUAAUGUUCCUAUAUAUACAUAGACACGCGCACACUCUUUCUUGAUUUUUGUUUCUUGACUUGAGUUUUUCGAUAUGUCAUACUCUUAAAUCUCUCAUACAAAGAAGUUUUUUUCUCUUUCUUUUCGGACAUUAAUUGAGUCUACAAAUUUGCACCUUUCUUGAAUUGUUAGUCCCACUGAUGAUUGCUCGUGAAAUAAUAUGAUAGAUUAAAUGUCUUUGUUAAGCACUUGAAUUUGUUCUUUUCUUCUAAAGCCCAUUUAAAUUAUUAUGUGCUAUGACGUUAGUUAAUUCUAAUGUUGACUCAUUUCCCUCUUAUGCAUGUAAUCCAUCAUGAGUCCAUAUUGGACUCUUCUCCAAUCCUCUUGUAUUUUUCGGGGCCAAGCCCCAAUCCUCCCGAAUCAAGCCCUAUCAAAGUCCAAAAUGGGCUAAUAGAUGAAGAAAACGGGACUGAUUUGUGGCGAUAUACAGAUGAUAUACGAGAAGGAUAUUGAUAUACAGGUUACAAAAUGUAGAAAUGCUGAUGUUAAGGUUCACAUGGGGAUGAUAUACGUCCCAAUAUGCAUUGGAUAUAUAGGAACAGGAAUUGUGAUAUACAAGUUAAUAUACAUGCAGGAAAGUGGACCCAAUGUCCAUAAAAUUCGAAGCCCAAAAGCUGGGCAGCUUAUUGAUGGGCCAAGGAAAGGCCCAACUUCAGUUCCUGACUUCAUUCUUUGUAACUUAUGAUUUAUCUCUGUUUAUUUAUAUUAACUAACACUUUAAUCAAUUAAUCUAGACAAAUCCCCUAAGGCAUUGUCAUUUUAUUUA